GGUUAAGUUAGAAAGGGCGCACGGUGGAUGCCUUGACACUAGGAGUCGAUGAAGGACGGGACUAACGCCGAUAUGCUUCGGGGAGCUGUAAGUAAGCUUUGAUCCGAAGAUUUCCGAAUGGGGAAACCCACCAUACGUAAUGGUAUGGUAUCCUUAUCUGAAUACAUAGGGUAAGGAAGACAGACCCAGGGAACUGAAACAUCUAAGUACCUGGAGGAAGAGAAAGCAAAUGCGAUUUCCUGAGUAGCGGCGAGCGAAACGGAACAUAGCCCAAACCAAGAGGCUUGCCUCUUGGGGUUGUAGGACAUUCUAUACGGAGUUACAAAGGAACGAGGUAGACGAAGCGACCUGGAAAGGUCCGUCGUAGAGGGUAACAACCCCGUAGUCGAAACUUCGUUCUCUCUUGAAUGUAUCCUGAGUACGGCGGAACACGUGAAAUUCCGUCGGAAUCUGGGAGGACCAUCUCCCAAGGCUAAAUACUCCCUAGUGAUCGAUAGUGAACCAGUACCGUGAGGGAAAGGUGAAAAGCACCCCGGAAGGGGAGUGAAAGAGAUCCUGAAACCGUGUGCCUACAAAUAGUCAGAGCCCGUUAACGGGUGAUGGCGUGCCUUUUGUAGAAUGAACCGGCGAGUUACGAUCCCGUGCGAGGUUAAGCUGAAGAGGCGGAGCCGCAGCGAAAGCGAGUCUGAAUAGGGCGUUUAGUACGUGGUCGUAGACCCGAAACCAGGUGAUCUACCCAUGUCCAGGGUGAAGUUCAGGUAACACUGAAUGGAGGCCGAACCCACGCACGUUGAAAAGUGCGGGGAUGAGGUGUGGGUAGCGGAGAAAUUCCAAUCGAACCUGGAGAUAGCUGGUUCUCCCCGAAAUAGCUUUAGGGCUAGCCUUAAGUGUAAGAGUCUUGGAGGUAGAGCACUGAUUGGACUAGGGGUCCUCAUCGGAUUACCGAAUUCAGUCAAACUCCGAAUGCCAAUGACUUAUCCUUAGGAGUCAGACUGCGAGUGAUAAGAUCCGUAGUCAAAAGGGAAACAGCCCAGACCGCCAGCUAAGGUCCCAAAGUGUGUAUUAAGUGGAAAAGGAUGUGGAGUUGCUUAGACAACUAGGAUGUUGGCUUAGAAGCAGCCACCAUUUAAAGAGUGCGUAAUAGCUCACUAGUCGAGUGACUCUGCGCCGAAAAUGUACCGGGGCUAAAUACACCACCGAAGCUGCGGAUUGAUACCAAUGGUAUCAGUGGUAGGGGAGCGUUCUAAGGACAGUGAAGUCAGACCGGAAGGACUGGUGGAGUGCUUAGAAGUGAGAAUGCCGGUAUGAGUAGCGAAAGACGGGUGAGAAUCCCGUCCACCGAAUGCCUAAGGUUUCCUGAGGAAGGCUCGUCCGCUCAGGGUUAGUCAGGACCUAAGCCGAGGCCGACAGGCGUAGGCGAUGGACAACAGGUUGAUAUUCCUGUACCACCUCUUUAUCGUUUGAGCAAUGGAGGGACGCAGAAGGAUAGAAGAAGCGUGCGAUUGGUUGUGCACGUCCAAGCAGUUAGGCUGAUAAGUAGGCAAAUCCGCUUAUCGUGAAGGCUGAGCUGUGAUGGGGAAGCUCCUUAUGGAGCGAAGUCUUUGAUUCCCCGCUGCCAAGAAAAGCUUCUAGCGAGAUAAAAGGUGCCUGUACCGCAAACCGACACAGGUAGGCGAGGAGAGAAUCCUAAGGUGUGCGAGAGAACUCUGGUUAAGGAACUCGGCAAAAUGACCCCGUAACUUCGGGAGAAGGGGUGCUUUCUUAACGGAAAGCCGCAGUGAAUAGGCCCAAGCGACUGUUUAGCAAAAACACAGCUCUCUGCGAAGCCGUAAGGCGAAGUAUAGGGGGUGACACCUGCCCGGUGCUGGAAGGUUAAGGAGAGGGGUUAGCGUAAGCGAAGCUCUGAACUGAAGCCCCAGUAAACGGCGGCCGUAACUAUAACGGUCCUAAGGUAGCGAAAUUCCUUGUCGGGUAAGUUCCGACCCGCACGAAAGGUGUAACGAUUUGGGCACUGUCUCAACCAGAGACUCGGUGAAAUUAUAGUACCUGUGAAGAUGCAGGUUACCCGCGACAGGACGGAAAGACCCCGUGGAGCUUUACUGUAGCCUGAUAUUGAAUUUUGGUACAGUUUGUACAGGAUAGGCGGGAGCCUUUGAAACCGGAGCGCUAGCUUCGGUGGAGGCGCUGGUGGGAUACCGCCCUGACUGUAUUGAAAUUCUAACCUACGGGUCUUAUCGACCCGGGAGACAGUGUCAGGUGGGCAGUUUGACUGGGGCGGUCGCCUCCUAAAGUGUAACGGAGGCGCCCAAAGGUUCCCUCAGAAUGGUUGGAAAUCAUUCGUAGAGUGCAAAGGCAUAAGGGAGCUUGACUGCGAGACCUACAAGUCGAGCAGGGACGAAAGUCGGGCUUAGUGAUCCGGUGGUUCCGCAUGGAAGGGCCAUCGCUCAACGGAUAAAAGCUACCCCGGGGAUAACAGGCUUAUCUCCCCCAAGAGUCCACAUCGACGGGGAGGUUUGGCACCUCGAUGUCGGCUCAUCGCAUCCUGGGGCUGUAGUCGGUCCCAAGGGUUGGGCUGUUCGCCCAUUAAAGCGGUACGCGAGCUGGGUUCAGAACGUCGUGAGACAGUUCGGUCCCUAUCCGUCGUGGGCGUAGGAAAUUUGAGAGGAGCUGUCCUUAGUACGAGAGGACCGGGAUGGACGCACCGCUGGUGUACCAGUUGUUCUGCCAAGGGCAUAGCUGGGUAGCUAUGUGCGGAAGGGAUAAGUGCUGAAAGCAUCUAAGCAUGAAGCCCCCCUCAAGAUGAGAUUUCCCAUAGCGUAAGCUAGUAAGAUCCCUGAAAGAUGAUCAGGUUGAUAGGUUCGAGGUGGAAGCAUGGUGACAUGUGGAGCUGACGAAUACUAAUAGAUCGAGGACUUAACCAU
rnacentral:rRNA from 1 species